GAUGAACGCUAGCGGCAGGCCUAAUACAUGCAAGUCGAACGGUGUCUUCGGACAUAGUGGCGCACGGGUGCGUAACACGUAUGCAACCUACCUUACAUUGGGGGAUAGCCUUUCGAAAGGGAGAUUAAUACCGCAUAAGACAGUAGUCUGGCAUCAGACAGCUGUUAAAGAUUUAUCGAUGUAAGCUGGGCAUGCGUCCAAUUAGUUAGUUGGCGAGGUAACGGCUCACCAAGACUAUGAUUGGUAGGGGAACUGAGAGGUCAAUCCCCCACACUGGCACUGAGAUACGGGCCAGACUCCUACGGGAGGCAGCAGUAGGGAAUAUUGGGCAAUGGACGCAAGUCUGACCCAGCCAUGCCGCGUGCAGGAAGAAGGCGUUAUGCGUUGUAAACUGCUUUUAUACAGGGAGAAACGACUCUUGCGAGAGGCAUUGACGGUACUGUAUGAAUAAGCACCGGCUAACUCCGUGCCAGCCGCCGCUGUAACAC
rnacentral:rRNA from 1 species